GCUUGGAAGCAGCCAUUCAUUUAAAGAGUGCGUAACAGCUCACUAGUCGAGGAGUCGGGCGUGGAUAAUAAUCGGGUAUCAAGUUGUCUACCGAAGCAGUGGGAUCAUUAAUAUGAUCGGUAGGGGAGCAUUCCAGUCAGCGUCGAAGGCGUACCGUGAGGUAUUCUGGAGCGUCUGGAAAAGCAAAUGUAGGUAUAAGUAACGAUAAAGGGGGCGGGAAACCCCCUCGCCGAAAGACUAAGGUUUCCUGAUCAACGCUAAUCGGAUCAGGGUCAGUCGGGUCCUAAGGCUCAGCCGAACGGCGAUGCCGAUGGCAGAAACGGUUAAUAUUCCGUUACUACCUUCAGGAGUGACGUGGAGACGCAGUAGUGACAGUGCCGCCAUCUGACGGAAUAGAUGGUUGAAGGGUGUAGGAGUCGAUCAUGGCAGGCAAAUCCACCAUGAGAUCCGAACCUGACAGUAUGCCGCGUCCUUCGGGACAAGGCAAUAGUGCGCGUAAGCAUGCUGCCGAGAAAAUCCGCUAAACUUAAUCCUGCAGGUACCCGUACCGCAAACGGACACACGUAGUCGGGAUGAAUAUUCUAAGGCGCUUGAGUGAUUCACGGUUAAGGAACUAGGCAAACUGACCCUGUAACUUCGGGAUAAAGGGUCCCUACCCUUUUAUGGGAGGGCGCAGAGAAUCGGUCCAGGCAACUGUUUAACAAAAACACAGGGCUGUGCCAAAUCGAAAGAUCCAGUAUACAGCCUGACACCUGCCCGGUGCUGGAAGGUUAAGAGGAGAUGUCAUCGAUAAGAGAAGCGUUGAAUUGAAGCCCCAGUAAACGGCGGCCGUAACUAUAACGGUCCUAAGGUAGCGAAAUUCCUUGUCGGGUAAGUUCCGACCUGCACGAAUGGUGUAAUGAUCUGGACGCUGUCUCAACCGUGAGCUCAGUGAAAUUGUAGUAUCGGUGAAGAUGCCGAUUACCCGCGAUGGGACGAAAAGACCCCGUGAACCUUUACUAUAGCUUAUCAUUGAAUCUGGGCACGUGAUGUGUAGGAUAGGUCGGAGGCUUUGAAGCAGGUACGCCAGUAUUUGUGGAGCCGCUGUUGAAAUACGACCCUUUAUUUGUUUGGAUUCUAACCCGUGGAUACGGGGACAUUGAUUGGUGGGUAGUUUGACUGGGGUGGUCGCCUCCAAAAGCGUAACGGAGGCUUCUAAAGGUGCCCUCCGGCCGAUUGGUAACCGGCCUUAGAGUGUAAUGGCAUAAGGGCGCUUGACUGGGAGACUAACAAGUCGAUCAGGUAGGAAACUAGAGCAUAGUGAUCCGGUGUUUCCGUAUGGAA
rnacentral:rRNA from 1 species